UGAUCUUCAUAUGGUAUUGAGUGACAAAGGCAGCAAAUUAACAUGAUUCAUUGCUGAUUUCAGCCCAAGGUUCAAAUCCAUCUUUUAGUUCAUUUUGCUCCUUUUUACAUUUCUCUCUUACUUAUUUCUGCUAGGACCUUACAUAGGAUUUCUACAGAAAUGUAUGAAAUCCUAUGGCCAUUGCAUGUCAGGAUUGUGCAGUAUUUUACAUUAGAAUUCCAGAGAGAACCCAUCUUUGUGAGAUUUACAGACCGAAAUGAGUGUGUGUGUAUACGUGUGCGUGUGGCAGGGGGGUAUGAAAUUGCAGAUCAGAUGGACUUAACUGACACUUGAACUUGUAGUUACUCACUGUGACCUAAACUCUUGUUCUAUUUCAAUAUUUGCCUGUCACAACACAAACUCCCCUCUUGAAAGAGAUUUACUUGUCAGUUCAAGCACUUACUUUAGAAGUCUCUUUGUCCUAAUGCAAAGUGAACCAAGACAUUUAAAGUGGCCUUUAACACUUCAUAGGUUACUUAAAAGUUUUACGAAAUAUCCCACUUAAUGUCAAAUCUUUCAGUCCUCAAAAACGCUUAAGUCUAUAGUCAUGCUUUAAACAUGACAUAAAAUUAUACCACCAAAAUGGUGUGCUUCACAGCUUCACCAGACGGCAACAUCAUAAAGUUAAUUUACAGUUUUGACAACAUUGCUUAUGCCAUCCUCCUGGUUAACAUUAAAAUCCUUUAAGCCAAAAGGAAGCUCUGUCUAUGGAUAUAAAUGCAAACUUCAUUUACCGGUGCAGAUUCAUAAAGCUCAGAUGUACUCCCACAAACGUUUUAUUGGCCUUUUUUGUAAGAGAUGAAUAGGAAGUGACACAGUUCUCUUUAAAGAGGGGAAAUUUUCUCUCUUUUCUAUUAUUUUUAUCUCCAACUGCAGGUGUUAUCCUUUGCCACGGUCCCCAUGUUUUUCUGUCAGUUGGCCUUGAGAGGAGAUAUUGUCAAAUCACCAAAACAGGGUUCUCUUUGUAUUAAAAGUUCUGGAUUCAUUGCAACUAUUUUCCUUGAUGAAAAUUCUCAACAUCAGUCUUGAUAAGCAAGGGUAGAAUGUUACCAUGGUAUGAUCAGUUUUAGAUAGUAUUCUCCAUUUGCCAAACUUCUGGCAAACCUACCUGUGAAUUUCAAAAUGUUAUAAAAUCUCAAAAUGUGCUUUUGUUUUGCCUUUUUGCCAUUUUUCUCUUCAGUUUCUUAGUCCCUCUGUAAAGGGGUUGACUAUUAGAGCUAACAGACCUGUCGAAGGUGGAGUUCUCUCAGAGAUCUUUGUUCCAGAUCUGUGAAGGUCACAGGAACCAUGAAGGAGCUAAGAAAUGUGCUCUGGCCCAUUGCGUGGCCCAUUUUCAUUCAUUUUCCUCAUGAAACAUUGCAGAAUUCUGAAUCCUUAGUAACUCCCAUUAACUGGACUAGAGGUGACAGCCACAGAAAAUGGGAGACCAAAAUGUUGUCCUACAGAUAGUGACAAAAUGUUAUUAGCCCUUUGGUGUUAGUUGCCAUAGCGCUGUAUUUGAAAAUCGAUGCUUUAGCCAAAAGCUGAAUGGCCACCGUUUUCGCAGUUACCACUGUUUUGUCUGCAUAGAAUUUUCCUGAACUACAAACAAAAAUGUAUUUUGUCAAAUGUCACAAAGUGAAAAUGUUACUAAUCUUAGAUGUGUUGCAUAUUUUGUGUUUUUACUUUCCAAACUCUUUCAAAAGCUGCAGUUAUAAAGCUGUUUGGCUGUAUUGACAGCAUGUGGUGUUUUUUGCAAAAGCAAUUCUAGGAGAGCCAGUGUCUACCAUGGACUUCUCACAUCCCCACUCCCGGGUCAUCAACAAAAUCAAAAUGGCAACUGUAUGCUGUCUUUUUUUAAAAGAUAAAAGGGGAUGGAAAUCAGACCUGGCUAUUAGUCACUAGUGUGUAGUACUGUGAUCUGAAAUAGGAAAUUUAACUCACAUAGAAUAAUUGUGGUUUUUGAAGCAGCUACUUUGUUUUUUUCUUUUGCUGUGAAGAUCAUGGAUUUGGAAUGUCCUCAUGAGGUGGGCCUAAGAUGGUAACGUUAAACUUCAUGUCUUAGAACCCACCCUCCAUCUGAACCCAAAGAUGUAAAAGGCAGUAAGCUUCAUGUUUAAGCCUAAGCUUAAAACGUUCCUCCCCCAUCCCUAAUAUUGAGUUCAGCAGAGGGGACGUCUUUUUUUCCAAAAAAUUAUAGCCUUUAAUUAUAAAAUGUAUAACUAAAUUUGGUAAUGUAAUUCUUUGCAUGAAUGGAAAUGUGUGUUAAAUACUUUUAGAAAAGGCAUGAUUACAAUGAAAAUGUCCUUUUGCCUCAAACUUUGCUCACCCCCAAAAAAUAUUUCACUAUUUCAAGCAUUAUUUACAUACAAAUUCCAAAAUUGGACUAAUUACACAAUUCCCUCAAAACUUGAUAGAUAUGGUAAGUAGAGAUUUCACUGUGGUUCCAUUGAAUCAUGAAAAGGAAAGGUGGUAUUUGAGAGGAGGUUGUAAAUAGAAUAUCAUGCCUUAUGACUCCAUUACUGAAGCACAGACAUUGCAAUCAGAAACAGACCUAAUGGUUCUAAUAUCCCGGCAUUAGUGAGCUCUGAUGAUGCUAAAGGAAGAUCACUCCUUACCAGGAGCCUUCGCUCUGAGCCUCAUCAGAGGGUAGAUGAUGAAAAAUUUCAAUCAGAAGCACUCCCCAAGGCUUGUCCUAGAUUAUGUUGGCCGCUCCCAUGUAAAACUUCUCUAUGAGGAGGUGGGAAAAACUAAGUCUGUGGGAAUUUUCUGGCAGGAAAACAUUUCUCCUUUUCUAAAUUGGAAUAAAGACUGACUUAAAAUUCCCCAUUCUUCAUAAUUGUAUCUAAUUAGUAUAUGCAAUCCAGUAAUCCUCGACCUAGAAAUAUUGAAAAUAUAAGCAGUGAGGAAAACUACUUUAUUCUCCUGAUUCCCAACUCAAAAAAUAUGAGUAAUUACUUACCUCCAUUUCUCUAUGGAAGGAUUUUUAAACAGAUUUCAUUUUGUUUUCUUUAUUUGGGGAAGGAACAUGGUGGGGGUGGGUUCUUUCAAGUGAUUCAUAUCUCAAAUCCAUACCACUCAACUUUUAUUUGACGUGUUCAAAGCCAAAAAAAAAUUAAAAAGCAGAACUGAACACUUAAUUUAACAUGAAGCUGAAGGAGGGAGCAAGCCAGAGGAGAGAAUGUGAAUAAAGCAUGGCCUUGGCUUCAUACCACACUUUUUGUGCCUUGUAUUAUCAAUGUAAAUUCUGAAUGUUGUACAGUAAAUAAUUGGAUGGACUUCUUAGAAAAGGCUGCACUGGCUUCUUUUUCAGCACAUGUACAUAUUAUAAAUAUAUAUACAUAUAUAUUUGGUAAUGCCAAACAGCUGCGUUAUAUUGUAUUGAACAAAAUGGACGGUUUGGAUGUUUUAUGUAGAGUUUGCAAAAAAAAUAUGGAUGGUUACACACUUUUCAAGAUAAAUGUACAGUCGUAAAUUACUGCCUAUCAGUUAUUUAUGAAUAAAAGUCUUUUAUUGACAUUUUAGGAUACUCCAUGACUGGGACUUUGAAAUCCCAAAGAGGACCCCCUCUAAACACCUCCUGCCACAUCUCAGCAGGAGCUGGAAUGCCUUUCACAUCAAGGACAAUUUCCAAAUACCUGUUAACAUAUUGAACCCAAUUUCUCCUCUGUCCUCAAGAAUGAGAUACUGUGAGGCUACUGGAAACAAAGACGAGAUUAUUCCCACCCCACUCCAACAUACACAUAGACAACUUCCCUUAGGAGGUAGUUUUCUAUACUCUG
rnacentral:lncRNA from 1 species